GCCCGAGCGUAGCUGCUAAGCAGCUGCGAGAGCCCUAUUAUUCCCCAAGGGGUUUUUCUUUGUUUCUUUCUUUCUUUCUUUCUUCUUUUUCCUCCCCUUUGAACUGGAAAAUGGCCCACUUCCCACUGGCGAAAACUCAUGAAAUUUGGCAGGACGACCGGGCCUGGUGAAAAAUUUGAUAUUCCGAAGUCGCCCAAACAAGAAAAUGCAAAAUGGCUCCAUAGCGCCCCCUAAGGUGAAAAUUCACACUAUUGACUGUCACGCCUGUACGCUUUGUCAAAAUGACACAAAAAUUGACACACACAUGUAUCUCAAUAAGAUCUACAAAAAAGUCAGUGCGGGCGUAUCUGUCAAAUGUACGGUUAAAGGGUUAUUUCGCAUUUUUUGCCGAUCCGCACACAUUGGAAUUUCGCUAACUCCUCCGAAGGCUUUCGUUCCACCGGCACCACAUUUGCUCGGGCCAAUCUACACCCCAUGGCCAUUAAAAGUUAUUCAAAUCAUGAUGCUGCACCCCACGGUUUAGGUUCUAGGGGGCGCCAAAGAUAACCCUAAGAUCCACAUAUUUAAAAGUCUUAUAACUUUUUAUUUUUGCCCUCACUGGCCUCCAAGUUUUCUAGGAUGAUGCAAUGUCCAGCCAUCAACACAUUUGUGAAGGAAUUUUUACUCCCCAAAAUAGCGCCCCCCUAUGGCAGGAGAAAAAAGUCCAUUUUUUCUUGUCCCCUAAGGUGAAAAUACACAUUGUUGGGUUUAACACCUGUACGCUUUGGCAAAAUGACACAAAAAUUGACACACACAUGUAUCUCAAUAAGAUCUACGAAAAAGUCAAUGCGCGCGUAUCUGUCAAAUGUACGGUGAAAGGGUUAUUCCGCAUUUUUUGCCGAUCCGCACACAUUGGAAUUUCGCUAACUCCUCCGAAGGCUUUCGUUCCACCGGCACCACAUUUGCUCAGGCCAAUCUACACCCCAUGGCCAUUAAAAGUUAUUCAAAUCAUGACGCUGCACCCCACGGUUUAGGUUCUAGGGGGCGCCAAAGAUAACCCUAAAAUCCACAUAUUUAAAAGUCUUAUAACUUUUUAUUUUUGUCCUCACUGGCCUCCAAGUUUUCUAGGAUGAUGCAAUGUCCAGCCAUCAACACAUUUGUGAAGGAAUUUUUACUCCCCAAAAGAGCGCCCCCCCCCAUGGCAGGAGAAAAAAGUCAAUUUUUUCUUGUCCCCUAAGGUGGAAAUUCACACUAUUGACUGUCACGCCUGUACGCUUUAUCAUAUUGACACAAAAAUUGACACACAUAUGUAUCUCAAUAAUAUCUACAAAAAAGUCAAUGCGCGCGUAUCUGUCAAAUGUACGGUUAAAGGGUUAUUCCGCAUUUUUUGCCGAUUCGCACACAUUGGAAUGUGGCUAACUCCUCCUAAGGCUUUCGUCCCACUGACACCAAAUUUGCUCAGGCCAAUCUACACCCCAUGGCCAUUCAAAGUUGUAAAAAUCAUGACGCUGCACCCCACGGUUUACGUUCUAGGGGGCGCCAAAGAUGACCCAAAAAUCCACAUUCUUAAAAGAAUCCACAUCCCCCCCCCCCCCCAAGGCAGGAGAAAAACUCAAGUUAACCCUGCCCAUCGCUCAAUGGCUCAAUCGCAUCGCUCUCCAGGCAACACCGUAAGGAGGAGCAACCUGCCAUUUCGAUAUAUCAUAGCUGUGUUUGUGCCCUCACUCAUGGUCCAGACUUUUUUCAAAUAGGACAUGAAGUUUGUCUGCAGCGAGUGUUUUGGUAGAAACUGCGCCUCCCAUUCAUUAUAAUGGGAAAUGACCACAGACAAGUGCGCACACCAUCUUUGGACCUUGAGUGUGACGCGAUCGGGAGGGGGAGGCGGUCGCGCUGGGGGCGGCGCGACGCGGCUCGGGCCCGACAGUGCCCCACCGGGGCCCUAGUUCUUAUUUUUCCUCCUCUUUGAAGGGGAAAAUGGCCCACUUCCCACUGGCGAAAACUCAUGAAAUUUGGCAGGACGACCAGGCCUGGUGAAAAAUUCGAUAUUUUGAAGUCGCCCAAAUAAUAAAAUGCAAAAUGGCUCCAUAGCGCCCCCUAAGGUGAAAAUUCACACUAUUGACUGUCACGCCUGUACGCUUUGUCAUAUUGACACAAAAAUUGACACACACAUGUAUCUCAAUAAGAUCUACAAAAAAGUCAGUGCGGGAAUAUCUGUCAAAUUUACGGUUAAAGGGUUAUUUCACAUUUUUUGCCGAUCCGCACACAUUGGAAUUUCGCUAACUCCUCCGAAGGCUUUCGUUCCACCGGCACCACAUUUGCUCAGGCCAAUCUACACUCCAUGGCCAUUAAAAGUUGUACAAAUCAUGACGCUGCACCCCACGGUUAAGGUUCUAGAUGGCGCAAAAUAUAACCCAAAAAUCCACAGCCUUGAAAGUCUUAUAACUUUUUAUUUUUUUCCUCACUGGCCUCCAAGUUUUCUAGGAUUAUGCAAUGUCCAGCCAUCAACACAUUUGUGAAGGAAUUUUUACUCCCCAAAAGAGCGCCCCCCCAUGGCAGGAGAAAAAAGUCCAUUUUUUCUUGUCCCCUAAGGUGAAAAUUCACAUUGUUGAGUGUCACGCCUGUACGCUUUGUCAUAUUGACACAAAAUUUGACAAUCACGUGUAUCUGAAUAAGAUCUACGAAAAAGUAAAUUCGCGCAUAUCUGUAAAAUGUACGGUUAAAGGGCUAUUUAGCAUUUUUUGCCGAUUCGCACACAUUGGAAUGUGGCUAACUCCUCCUAAGGUCUUCGUCCCACUGACACCAAAUUUGCUCAGGCCAAUCUACACGCGAUGGCCAUUCAAAGUUGUAAAAAUCAUGACGCUGCACCCCACGGUUUACGUUCUAGGGGGCGCCAAAGAUGACCCAAAAAUCCACAUUCCACACAUUGGAAUGUGGCUAACUCCUCCUAAAGCUUUCGUCCCACCAACACCAAAUUUGCUCAGGCCAAUCUACACCCCAUGGCCUUUCAAAGUUGUACAAAUCAUGACGCUGCACCCCACGGUUUAGGUUCAAGGGGGCGCCAGAGAGGACCCAAAUAUCCACAUUCUUAAAAGUCUUGUAACUUUUUAUUUUUGUCCUCACUGGCCUCCAAGUUUUCUAGGAUGAUGCAAUGUUCAGCCAUCAACACAUUUGUGAAGGAAUUUUUACUCCCCAAAAGAGCGCCCCCCUAUGGCAGUAGAAAAAGUCAAGUUUUUCCUGCCCAUCACUCAAUGGCUCAAACGCAUCGCUCUCUCGGCAAAACCGAAAGGAGGAGCAACUUGCCAUUUGGAUAUAUACUAGCUGUGUUUGUGCCCUCACUCAUGGUCCAGACUUUUUUCAAAAAGGGCCAGGAGUUUGUCUGCAGCGAGCGUUUUGGUAGAAACUGCGCCUCCCAUCCAUUAUAAUGGUAAAUGACCACAGACAAGUGCGCACACCAUCUUUGGACCUUGAGUGUGACGGGAUCGGGAGGGGGAGGCGGUCCCGCUGGGGGUGGCGCAACAUGGCUCGGGCCCGCCAGUGCCCCAACGGGGCCCUAGUUAGGGCCCGAGCGUAGCUGCUAAGCAGCUGCGAGAGCCCUCUUGUUCCUGCAUGUUUCCUUCUUUUGUUAUUAGGGCCCGAGCGUAGCUGCUAAGCAGCUGCGAGAGCCCUCUUGUUCCUGAUGGAUUCUUCUUUCGUUAUUUUUCCUCCGCUUUAAACUGGAAAAUGGCCCACUUCCCACUGGCGAAAACUCAGGAAAUUUGGCAGGACGACCGGGCCUGGUGAAAAAUUCGAUAUUCUGAAGUCGCCCAAACAAAAAAAUGAAAAAUGGCUCCAUAGCGCCCCCUAUGGUGAAAACUCACCUGACGCCUGUACGCUUUGUCAAAAUGACACAAAAAUUGACACACAUGUGUAUCUCAAUAAGAUCUACAAAAAAGUCAGUGCGGGCGUAUCUGUCAAAUGUACCGUUAAAGGGCUAUUUCGCAUUUUUUGCCGAUCCGCACACAUUGGAAUUUCGCUAACUCCUCCGAAGGCUUUCCUUCCACCGGCACCAAAUUUGCUCAGGCCAAUCUACACCCCAUGGCCAUUAAAAGUUGUACAAAUCAUGACGCUGCACCCCACGGUUUAGGUUCUAGGGGGCGCCAAAGAUAACCCAAAAAGCCACAUUCUUAAAAGUCUUAUAACUUUUUAUUUUUGUCCUCACUGGCCUCCAAGUUUUCUAGGAUGAUGCAAUGUCCAGCCAUCAACACAUUUGUGAAGGAAUUUUUACUCCCCAAAAGAGCGCCCCCCCAUGGCAGUAGAAAAAAGUCCAUUUUUUCUUGUCCCCUAAGGUGAAAAUACACAUUGUUGAGUGUCACGCCUAAACGCUUUGUCAUAUUGACACAAAAUUUGACAAUCACGUGUAUCUCAAUAAGAUCUACGAAAAAGUCAAAGAGCGCGUAUCUGUAUAAUGUACGGUAAAAGGGCUAUUUUGCAUUUUUUGCCGAUCCGCACACAUUGGAAUUUCACUAACUCCUCCGAAGGCUUUCAUUCCACCGACACCAAAUUUGCUCAGGCCAAUCUACACCCCAUGGCCAUUAAAAGUUGUACAAAUCAUGAUGCUGCACCCCACGGUUUACGUUCUAGGGGGCGCCAAAGAUGACCCAAAUAUCCACAUUCUUAAAAGUCUUAUAACUUUUUAUUUUUGUCCUCACUGGCCUCCAAGUUUUCUUGGACGAUGCAAUGUCCAGCCAUCAACACAUUUGUGAAGGAAUUUUUACUCCCCAAAAGAGCGCCCCCCAUGGCAGGAGAAAAAAGUCCAUUUUUUCUUGUCCCCUAAGGUGAAAAUACGCACUGUUGAGUGUCACGCCUGUACGCUUUGUCAAAAUGACACAAAAAUUGACACACACAUGUAUCUCAAUAAGAUCUACGAAAAAGUCAAUGCACGCGUAUCUGUCAAAUGUACGGUUAAAGGGUUAUUCCGCAUUUUUUGCUGAUCCGCACACAUUGGAAUGUGGCUAACUCCUCUGAAGGCUUUCGUUCCAUCGGCACCAAAUUUGCUCAGGCCAAUCUACACCCCAUGGCCAUUGAAAGUUAUUCAAAUCAUGACGCUGCACCCCACAGUUUACGUUCUAGGGGGCGCCAAAGAUGACACAAAUAUCCACAUAUUUAAAAGUCUUAUAACUUUUUAUUUUCGUCCUCACUGGCCUCCAAGUUUUCUAGGAUGAUGCAAUGUCCAAAUAUCCACAUUCUUAAAAGAAUCUACAUCCCCCCCCCCAUCCCCCAAGUUUUUCCUGCCCAUCACUCAAUGGCUCAAUCGCAUCGCUCUCCCGGCAACACCGUAAUGAGGAGCAACUUGCCGUUUGGAUAUAUCCUAGCUGUGUUUGUGCCCUCACUCAUGGUCCAGACUUUUUUCAAAUAGGACAUGUAGUUUGUCUGCAGCGAGUGUUUUGGUAGAAACUGCGCCUCCCAUUCAUUAUAAUGGGAAAUGACCACAGACAAGUGCGCACACCAUCUUUGGACCUUGAGUGUGACGCGAUCGGGAGGGGGAGGCGGUCGCGCUGGGGGCGGCUCGACGCGGCUCGGGCCCGACAGUGCCCCACCGGGGCCCUAGUUAUUAUUAUUAUUUUUCCUCCCCUUUGAACUGGAAAAUGGCCCACUUCCCACUGGCGAAAACUCAUGAAAUUUGGCAGGACUACCGGGCCUGGUGAAAAAUUUGAUAUUCCGAAGUCGCCCAAACAAGAAAAUGCAAAAUGGCUCCAUAGCGCCCCCUAAGGUGAAAAUUCACACUAUUGACUGUCACGCCUGUACGCUUUGUCAAAAUGACACAAAAAUUGACACACACAUGUAUCUCAAUAAGAUCUACAAAAAAGUCAAUGCGCGCGUAUCUGUCAAAUGUACGGUUAAAGGGUUAUUUCGCAUUUUUUGCCGAUCCGCACACAUCGGAAUUUCGCUAACUCCUCCGAAGGCUUUCGUUCCACCGGCACCACAUUUGCUCAGGCCAAUCUACACCCCAUGGCCAUUUAAAGUUAUUCAAAUCAUGACGCUGCACCCCACGGUUUAGGUUCUAGGGGGCGCCAAAGAUAACCCUAAGAUCCACAUAUUUAAAAGUCUUAUAACUUUUUAUUUUUGCCCUCACUGGCCUCCAAGUUUUCUAGGAUGAUGCAAUGUCCAGCCAUCAACACAUUUGUGAAGGAAUUUUUACUCGCCAAAAGAGCGCCCCCCCCCCCCAUGGCAGGAGAAAAAAGUCCAUUUUUUCUUGUCCCCUAAGGUGAAAAUACACAUUGUUGAGUGUCACGCCUGUACGCUUUGGCAAAAUGACACAAAAAUUGACACACACAUGUAUCUCAAUAAGAUCUACAAAAAAGUCAGUGCGGGCGUAUCUGUCAAAUGUACGGUUAAAGGGUUAUUGCGCAUUUUUUGCCGAUCCGCACACAUUGGAAUUUCGCUAACUCCUCCGAAGGCUUUCGUUCCACCGGCACCACAUUUGCUCAGGCCAAUCUACACCCCAUGGCCAUUAAAAGUUAUUCAAAUCAUGACGCUGCACCCCACGGUUUAGGUUCUAGGGGGCGCCAAAGAUAACCCUAAAAUCCACAUAUUUCAAAGUCUUAUAACUUUUUAUUUUUGCCCUCACUGGCCUCCAAGUUUUCUAGGAUGAUGCAAUGUCCAGCCAUCAACACAUUUGUGAAGGAAUUUUUACUCCCCAAAAGAGCGCCCCCCCAUGGCAGGAGAAAAAAGUCCAUUUUUUCUUGUCCCCUAAGGUGAAAAUACGCACUGUUGAGUGUCACGCCUGUACGCUUUGUCAAAAUGACACAAAAAUUGACACACACAUGUAUCUCAAUAAGAUCUACGAAAAAGUCAAUGCACGCGUAUCUGUCAAAUGUACGGUUAAAGGGUUAUUCCGCAUUUUUUGCUGAUCCGCACACAUUGGAAUGUGGCUAACUCCUCUGAAGGCUUUCGUUCCAUCGGCACCAAAUUUGCUCAGGCCAAUCUACACCCCAUGGCCAUUGAAAGUUAUUCAAAUCAUGACGCUGCACCCCACAGUUUACGUUCUAGGGGGCGCCAAAGAUGACACAAAUAUCCACAUAUUUAAAAGUCUUAUAACUUUUUAUUUUCGUCCUCACUGGCCUCCAAGUUUUCUAGGAUGAUGCAAUGUCCAAAUAUCCACAUUCUUAAAAGAAUCUACAUCCCCCCCCCCCCAUCCCCCAAGUUUUUCCUGCCCAUCACUCAAUGGCUCAAUCGCAUCGCUCUCCCGGCAACACCGUAAUGAGGAGCAACUUGCCGUUUGGAUAUAUCCUAGCUGUGUUUGUGCCCUCACUCAUGGUCCAGACUUUUUUCAAAUAGGACAUGUAGUUUGUCUGCAGCGAGUGUUUUGGUAGAAACUGCGCCUCCCAUUCAUUAUAAUGGGAAAUGACCACAGACAAGUGCGCACACCAUCUUUGGACCUUGUGUGUGACGCGAUCGGGAGGGGGAGGCGGUCGCGCUGGGGGCGGCUCGACGCGGCUCGGGCCCGACAGUGCCCCACCGGGGCCCUAGUUAUUAUUAUUAUUUUUCCUCCCCUUUGAACUGGAAAAUGGCCCACUUCCCACUGGCGAAAACUCAUGAAAUUUGGCAGGACUACCGGGCCUGGUGAAAAAUUUGAUAUUCCGAAGUCGCCCAAACAAGAAAAUGCAAAAUGGCUCCAUAGCGCCCCCUAAGGUGAAAAUUCACACUAUUGACUGUCACGCCUGUACGCUUUGUCAAAAUGACACAAAAAUUGACACACACAUGUAUCUCAAUAAGAUCUACAAAAAAGUCAAUGCGCGCGUAUCUGUCAAAUGUACGGUUAAAGGGUUAUUUCGCAUUUUUUGCCGAUCCGCACACAUCGGAAUUUCGCUAACUCCUCCGAAGGCUUUCGUUCCACCGGCACCACAUUUGCUCAGGCCAAUCUACACCCCAUGGCCAUUUAAAGUUAUUCAAAUCAUGACGCUGCACCCCACGGUUUAGGUUCUAGGGGGCGCCAAAGAUAACCCUAAGAUCCACAUAUUUAAAAGUCUUAUAACUUUUUAUUUUUGCCCUCACUGGCCUCCAAGUUUUCUAGGAUGAUGCAAUGUCCAGCCAUCAACACAUUUGUGAAGGAAUUUUUACUCCCCAAAAGAGCGCCCCCCCAUGGCAGGAGAAAAAAGUCCAUUUUUUCUUGUCCCCUAAGGUGAAAAUACACAUUGUUGAGUGUAACACCUGUACGCUUUGGCAAAAUGACACCAAAAUUGAGACACACAUGUAUCUCAAUAAGAUCUACAAAAAAGUCAAUGCGCACGUAUCUGUCAAAUGUACGGUUAAAGGGUUAUUCCGCAUUUUUUGCCGAUCCGCACACAUUGGAAUUUCGCUAACUCCUCCGAAGGCUUUCGUUCCACCGGCACCACAUUUUCUCAGGCCAAUCUACACCCCAUGGCCAUUAAAAGUUAUUCAAAUCAUGACGCUGCACCCCACGGUUUAGGUUCUAGGGGGCGCCAAAGAUAACCGUAAAAUCCACAUAUUUAAAAGUCUUAUAACUUUUUAUUUUUGUCCCCACUGGCCUCCAAGUUUUCUAGGAUGAUGCAAUGUCCAGCCAUCAACACAUUUGUGAAGGAAUUUUUACUCGCCAAAAGAGCGCCCCCCCAUGGCAGGAGAAAAAAGUCCAUUUUUUCUUGUCCACUAAGGUGAAAAUACACAUUGUUGAGUGCUACGCCUGUAUGUUUUGUCGUAUUGACACAAAAUUUUACAUACACGUGUCUUUCAAUAAGAUCUUCGAAAAAGUCAAUGGCCACGUAUCUGUAAAAUGUACGGUUAAAGGGUUAUUUCGCAUUUUUUGCAGAUUCGCACACAUUGGAAUU
rnacentral:lncRNA from 1 species